ACUUAUCUGAAUAAUGUGGUGAAUCAUAUUUUGAUCAGAUCACUUAAUGAUCAAGACUAAUCGAUGCUAGCUAGAAAAUUAGUAUGACUAAUUUAGGUGUCCUUAGUUCGAUCUGUCUAUAGUACUCUUCAUGACUAGGUGAAGUCAGUGAGAGGAUUUGUAACUAAUCGGCUUGACCAACUUGCAUCUAGUCUUCUUUAAUCUGACUUAGUAAAAUCAGUGGGAAGAUUAUGAUUAACUAAUUAGUCUUUUCUCUUCUCUCAUUCCAUCUAACUGAAUCCUCUAAAAUUAUUGGAUCUUUAAAAAUAAAAUAGUUAUGAUGAUAACUAGAUCAUUGCCUUCCAUUAAGUUGGAUGAUAA
rnacentral:lncRNA from 1 species